rnacentral:rRNA from 2 species
AAAGGUGGCUAUAGCAUCGGGGAUCCACCUCUAACCAUUCCGAACAGAGCAGUUAAGCCCGAUCACGCCGAUGGUACUAUGCAAAUGGGAGAGUAGGUAGCCGCCACUU